GGUCAUGGCGCUGUUUGAGUUGCUCAACACACAUGCCAAGUUCUCACUCCUGUCUGAGGUGAGAGGCAUCAUCUCACCCCAAGACCUGGACCGCUUCGACCACCUGGUGCUGAGGCGCGAGAUCGAGUCCAUGAAGGCGCGGCAGCCCCCAGGCCCUGGUGUCGGAGACACCUAUUCCAUGGUAUCCUACAGUGACACCGGCUCAUCCACAGGCAGCCAUGGCACCUCUACAACCGUCAGCUCAGCCAGGGUGUGACCUUGGACAAACUGCUCCCUUCCAGCCUGCUUUUCCAUCUAUGGAUGGAAAUGCUGGCACCAAGCCUGCCCCAAGUUGCUGACCUAUGGAGACCCCCCAGCCCCAAGGAUAAAGUUGGCUUCUCAGAGCAACAAGGCCUUCCUUCCGGCUUCCCCUG
rnacentral:lncRNA from 1 species